UCCCCUCUCCCCUCUUUUCUCCUCCUCAGCCCUCCCUGUCUGGUUUUGUCAGCAUGAAACUACAGAGCCACCACACAAUUAAGCGUGGAAGUGACAGUUAAGACAGUCAAGCGACCGGUCUGGUUGUGGCACUCCUGUCUUCGCCACCUGUUUUGGCACCACAGCCACCCUUUGCCUCGCCUUCCCUUGGCCUUUUGCAUUCGCUCUCUUUCUGAGCCUCUGGACGUCCCUGGAGCAGUGGCUUCUCCCUCAGCCACACUAAGGCAGGAGGAACCGCUCACCUUCAACCUCACCCGCACCUGUGUUGGGAGUCAGGGCCAGCGUUCUGAGAAGCCCAUUCCUGAGAUAUUUUCGCAGCAGUUUUAAAGCACCGUCUCUAACCCUCCAUCGCUGGUGGCCUUUCUCAAGAACCUGGUGACACCAUUUAUUGCUUGAGGGCGGGUGUGCACAUGAAGACAGAUGUGUGUUUAAAUCCACAUUGCUCAAGCUGAAGAAGUUCCUUCGAUCACACCUAAAUUCCUUCUAAUGCAGCUUCAGCCAGCUUGGAAACAGUCUUUCCAUUGGGCCGUUUCCAAAUCCCUGAUUUAGAGCCCCUUCCAUCUGGCUGGCGUCAAAGGAACAGGAGGAACCACAGCAGAACCGCUUGGAACCACUAACUUUUUGGGCCAAGGACAGAAUUCUUCUCCAGGUCCGGUUUGGUUUGCAAAUUCCUGGCUGUCAUAGCAACCCGAAAAGCAAAGGAGGGCUGUUUAGUGUCGUGUUUGACUGCAGCCUGGGCUGGGAAUGCACUCAGGUCGGUCGAGGAAACUGUUCACUGGUAACCACUCUGUGCCUCUCCCUCCGGGCCCAGGGACCGCAAGGCAGGGAGCUCCCCACCUCAAGCCCUCUUGCUGCGCAGCUUCCUGUCUGGUGUCGCUCAGCUGUGCAUCUGCUGCUCCUCCCCCAAUGGUUCGGCCACAUCCAAAGUGGGAGGGGAAUUUCCAGAAGAGGCCUCCUGGGAGAUGGAAUUAACUCUGUGACAGCAGCAGUCAGCACCUUGUGUGAAGAAGCAUGAAGAUGGCUUGGGGAGGCGGUGGCUGAUGGCACUUCCGUGGUACAAGCAUCUCCGUUAAGUUCCAAGCUGAGCUCUGCUGACCUAUUCAAACACUUGCAACCAGGGCUGUUUAUCUCUAGGGCUGGCGUUGGUGACCUAAACAUGUUGAAGAUCUAAAAAAUAUAACCAGCUUCACAAUAUAAAAAGAAAACUGUGAAAAUGAGAUUAGUAAGUAGGUCACUAAAUCUACAAAGAUGUUAUGAUGUCAUUUUCUUGUUACAUUCAUUAUCACAAGAUUUUUACCUGCUUGAAAACAAUUCGCAGGCUAGUUUCACAUCAUUGGCAGAAUUCCUGAUUGUUAGGAAAUUUUUGUUAGGCCAAAUUUCAAAAGUAGAAUUGUAAAAGAAAAAUUGCAGUAUUUUUAUAGUAAAAAAAAAGUUAGAAUGAGAUUGGGUAUAUUUUAAUACGCUUCAUAUG